UUUGGAGGCGCCCGAAGGUGGGGGGUCGGCUAGAAGGAAAGACUUCAGCCAGAGGUACAUGAACCACAGAUGUUCAUCACCCUUCUCAGGACCACGUUCCUUUUUGGCAGCCCAGGUGGGAUGACCAGAAAUGAAGUAAGUAGAACAAGGCAACCCUGGUACUGCCCUGCUCAGGCUCCACAGCUCACUGUACACAUUCUGCUUAGCAUUUUAAACUAAAAGAGCUUCUGGUGAAAGCAAAUUACAUCCUGAAACUUUUCUCCAGAAUAGGUAAGUUCUCAUUUAGUCUGAAACCUAUGUUCCCAUAGUUUUGCCUUCUUAAUCUAUUUCCCAUCUUCAAAACCUAAACACACCUUAUCCAUCCUUAUAGACUCUGCCCAAGUUCCAGCUUCUGUGAAGAUCUGACCCAAAUUUGAAUCCAAAUGAAUUUUUCUUUCUGAUGCUUCUGUGACGUGAAUAUUUUAUUGCUUAGUAGUUAUUCCAUGAACAUGUAUCCUGCUCUAGAGGUUAUGGAAUAUCUAUAUCAUUUAUUGUUUUUGGAAUCUAAAGCAUUACCAGCUCACUUCUGGGCUAAUAGGAGGUGCUAAAAGUAGGCAAAAAGAGGGCCCUAUUCACAUAUACUUGCUCAAAGUGGAAAACCUGCUGGAACCCUCUAAGAUGAAUCUUUUUUCUUCUCCAUAUAAAUCUUUAAUGACAUUUUGGUUUUUAUUUCUGCCAUUAAUUUAAAAAGUGCUAGGAAAAUAAUUUCUUAUUUGCACAUGAAAUAAUGCAGUGCUUUUCAGAAUAAAAACACAUGAGUCAUUUUUGUGAUGAAUAAUUUGGUAUAUUUGGGUAUAUUCUAUUUCUGGAUAAAUAGUUCAAAUAGGAUUUUAGUAAUGCAUGUGUGAUACAUACUUAAAAACAAAAAUAAAGUAUCUUCUUGAGUGUUUGCCUUUGUUGUAAAUUCAGUCAUUCAAAUUGUUGUCUCUCAAGACCCAAAAAUGCUAGGGCAUUGCCAGCUUUGAGUUUAUCCUGAAAAAAUGAAAAGGAAAGAUUUUAAUUCAAAGCAUUAUUUAAUGAUUUUUAAUAAAUAUUUAUUAAAUAUCUUUAUCAGAUUUAAAAAAAUCAAUUCUCUAAUGUGAUAGAAAAAUAUUAUUAGCAGGUUAAACAGUAAGUCUCUUUGCCCAUGUUUUACCCUACUACUAUUUUUAAAAUUAUAGUCAUAUAUUUGUAUUGAAUAAUCUUUUAAAAGCAAAAAUAUAAAUGAUGUAUGGUAUAUUUGUGCUUUUAUGAUUUUCCCUGCUUCUCAAAUAUGUCGACAAUCAUGGACAAAACAGCUGGAGUUUUUGAAUUUCUGAACAUGGAAAUAAUAUGUAUUUAUUUUUUCUUUUUAGGGCCACACCUGUGGAAUAUGGAAGUUCUCAGGCUAGGGACUGAACUGGAGCUGCAGCUGCCAGCCUACACCACAGCCACAGCAACGCCAAAUCGAAGCUGCAUCUGUGGCCUAUGCCACAGCUUGCAGCAACACUGGAUCCUUAACCCACUGAGUGAGGCCGGGGUGGAACCUGCAUCCUCAUAGAUACUAGUUGGAUUCUUAACCCACUAAGCCCCAAUGGGAACUCCCUGCAAAUGCAUUUAAAUAAGAUAAUAAAUAUAGUAAUAAGCUUAAACAAAAAAUAGAAUUACAAUAUGACCCAACAAUUCCACUCCUAGUCAUAUAUAAAAGACUUAAAGGCGUUCCUGCUGUGGCAUAACAGGAUCAGUGACAUCUCUGGUGUGCUGGGACACAGGUUUGAUCCCUGGCUCAGCACAGUGCCUUAAGGAUCCAGCUUUGCUGCAGCUGCUGCUCAGAUCUGACCCCUGGCCCGGGAACUCCAUAUGUCCCGGGGCACCCAAAAAAGGAAAAAAAUAAUUAAAAACAUGUUCAUAACAACACUAUUCACAAUAUCCAAAAUACAGAAACAGCCUAAGCACACAUCAACAGACGAAUAUAUUUUUAAACCUGAUAUAUACAUAAGUGGAAUAUUCAGCCACCAAAAGAAAUGGAGUUCUUUUUUUUCUUCCAGUUUUAUUGAGAUAUAAUUGAUACACAACACUGUAUAAGGUUUUUUGAAAACUCGAAAGUGAUAAGAUAUAAAAGUAAAUCAUAGCAGACAUAUAAUAGUAAUUAUUAUUAUUUCAUUAAAGUCUUAAUCCAGAUACUUGGGGUAAUCUGCUUUCAGUUUAAUUUUGGUUAACAUUAUACAAAGUUUUUCAUUUUCAAACUUUGAUUUAAAAAGAAAAAAAAUCUUAGCUUCCUGCUUUAAUAAGUAAAUAUUUAAUAAUUCAAGACUUCUGGUGCCUUAAAGGUGGGUAAGUGCGAAAGGAGGCACUUUCCAGUUCAUAACUUGCAACUAGUACAUAUCGAAGAGGACUCUUCUUGGCAUCUAUUGUGUUUCAAGCUUGCUAUGAUGAGUUGUAUCUUUAACGACUAAAGCAGAGAAUUAGAGUCAAAGAGAACUUUUGGAUUCUAGGUUAGAAGAAAGCCAAGACUUAUGUAAAAGGAUUAUGACUAAGACUUUUCUAAGAUUUGUAAGAAUUUUUAUGUCCCCAUGUUUUCAUUUUGGGCCAUCCCUGUCCCCUGGUAGUGAUUGAAAGUGGUCUUAGGAAGAACUUGUUUUAUUGGGAGUGGGUGUAGAAUGGGAAGAGAGAGGAAGUCUGAGGACACUGCAUCUCAUUUUAAACUUAUUUUGGCUCAGGACUUAAAGGGCAGAAUAGGCAGUGGCAGCAUUAAGGCACAUUUACUCACCCUAAAAGUCAAAUGCUACAAGAAAAAAAAAAUCCAGUUACUUGAUUUUUAUGGAUGCUUGAGUCCUGUUAAUCAAGACUUUAGUCUCAAUAGUGAAAUAACUAGGAUCGUUACAACUUUUGAGAUUGGUAGAUUUGUAAUAGAAAUAUUAAAUGAAAAAAAAUUUUAAAUUAGAAAAUUUUUCUUAUUCAUCUAACAUGCAAACCUAAAUAUAUUAUUAUAAUGUGCUUCUUUACAGUCUUCUUUCUUGUCUUUAUGAAUUUAGUUGUACUAGGUUGACUUUCAGCUUUUAAAAUUUCCUUCACCCUUUAAUAGGUCACCUAUUUCUGGAGAUCGAGUAACAAUUUUAGGAAUAUUAAGUGUAAUGGUUUCUCUGUUCUUUGCUAUCACAUAUCGAAGUGCUCUGAACCCAAACACAACUAGAGCAGGAAAAUUCAGGAAGAAGACCAAACACACCUUAGUUUCUUCAUCAAAUUCUUCCAUGGAGUCUAUCAGUUUCCCAGGUUCCAGCUCACCUAGUGGAAAGGGGUAAUCAGUUCCCAAAAUGACUUUAUCCUGAAAAAAGAAAAAAACUUUUAUCUCUAAUUUUGUAGAGAAUCAAAGAACCUCUUGUAAACUUAGUUAUAUUCACUUAUUACAAGCACUUCUAUGGUAAAAUAACAAAUUUCUUCCUGAUUAGUAGAAAUAAACUGAUCUAAAAUUUUAAAGAUUAAAUGGAUUUAAAAUUUAUUCUGACAUUUUCUCCAGCAGGUGUCGCUAUUAGGUCUCUCAAAGCUGCAAAUGAAUCCUCAUUUCCAUUAUUUAUUUAUUUUUAAAUAACUAAAAUACAGAAUACUCAUAUAUAAGAAGCAGACAUUUGUUGAGUAAAACAUGCUGAUUCUUCAGAUGAAAUUAGGGAUUCUAUAUUUCUUAGAAUGAUGCAUUGCAAUUGAUCCCACAAUUUUUGAAAAUAUAACCAUAAUUG
rnacentral:lncRNA from 1 species